rnacentral:rRNA from 1 species
CCACGCAGUAAACGAUGAUUACUAGGAGUUUGCGAUAUAAUGUAAGCUCUACAGCGAAAGCGUUAAGUAAUCCACCUGGGGAGUACGCCGGCAACGGUGAAACUCAAAGGAAUUGACGGGGGCCCGCACAAGCGGAGGAACAUGUGGUUUAAUUCGAUGAUACGCGAGGAACCUUACCCGGGUUUGAACGCAGGGGGACCGGUCAGGAAACUGACUUUCUAGCAAUAGCCGCCUGCGAGGUGCUGCAUGGUUGU